GUCGAGCGGACCGACGGGAGCUUGCUCCCUUAGGUCAGCGGCGGACGGGUGAGUAACACGUGGGUAACCUGCCUGUAAGACUGGGAUAACUCCGGGAAACCGGGGCUAAUACCGGAUGCUUGAUUGAACCGCAUGGUUCAAUCAUAAAAGGUGGCUUUUAGCUACCACUUGCAGAUGGACCCGCGGCGCAUUAGCUAGUUGGUGAGGUAACGGCUCACCAAGGCGACGAUGCGUAGCCGACCUGAGAGGGUGAUCGGCCACACUGGGACUGAGACACGGCCCAGACUCCUACGGGAGGCAGCAGUAGGGAAUCUUCCGCAAUGGACGAAAGUCUGACGGAGCAACGCCGCGUGAGUGAUGAAGGUUUUCGGAUCGUAAAACUCUGUUGUUAGGGAAGAACAAGUACCGUCCGAAUAGGGCGGUACCUUGACGGUACCUAACCAGAAAGCCACGGCUAACUACGUGCCAGCAGCCGCGGUAAUACGUAGGUGGCAAGCGUUGUCCGGAAUUAUUGGGCGUAAAGCGCGCGCAGGCGGUUUCUUAAGUCUGAUGUGAAAGCCCCCGGCUCAACCGGGGAGGGUCAUUGGAAACUGGGGAACUUGAGUGCAGAAGAGGAGAGUGGAAUUCCACGUGUAGCGGUGAAAU
rnacentral:rRNA from 1 species